rnacentral:lncRNA from 1 species
CAGUAUAGUACAAUUCUAGUUUAAUCAAGAAUAAGUGUUUGAAUUAAAUGAAUAUUGUGGGUAAUACAUGCGAUCCCUGUGUUUAUGCCCAAAAGAUGAGGAAUUAGGGCAUGACCAUGGAUUUGAAAGCUAUCGUUCAGCAAACCAUACAAACUGUACAAUGUAGGCCACAGAGACCAUAUUGUCUGUCUUUUACAGGUACCACGCACCAUAAAGUUUUGUACCUGGUAGGGCUUUGCUAAUGAAAAAUACAUUUAAGUUGUUAGGUGAAACGAGGUGAAGAAUUGCAAGAUUUGGGAGCCCAUUCUCUGUAGAUUUGUUUGACAGCCUUGUACACAGAACUACAAACUAUUAGAUAAACAAUCAUUGAAAAUCUUUGCCAUCCAUACUUAAACUUCUUCUGCGUUCAUAGGCAGUCAUAUAGUCGACUUAUAUGUUUGGUUCGUGUGCUACCUGUGCACAUUAGUCCAACUGGAAACGAAAGUGCAGUUUAGAGUUCAGACAGCGUGUUCCGAAUUGCAUCACACGGGAGAGAUCUGUCAUGUAGAAUUAUGACGUAACACUGGAAUAUUCGGAACGUGGGUUUCCAAGUUCGGUGUCAUCGCAGUUCUGGCGCAUUUGCGAAACUGCUCUGAAUCGCAAUAGACUCAUUGGACAUGGUCCUGUUAGUCAUUAAAAUAAUAAUAUGUCUGCUGGCGUUAGUUACGUUGGAAGACAAAAUCUUUCACCUGGCUCGCAUACCGAGACUGGCCUUAAGGCUCUCUGGAGGGGGGGCGCCUUUCUUGGACUCCGAGCAGGACGCACCCGGCCUGGUGGAGCUGAGCUUCAGACAGUCUAAUGAUCCGGCUCCUCUCCUGCCUCCUCUGGACCCGCCAGGGACCGAAGAGGUACUGGGAGACUGCAGUCUCACACCCGUGUCUACAUCGCCAUCCCCUGGUUCGCUGGUCCCGAAUGCCGCGGCGCUCGGCAACAACCUUUCAGCGAUCGCUGCGAGGGUGGUCCAGUUGGACUUGGACCCGGAAACUGAAACAAUGAAGAUUGGAGAAGAAGCGGUUUGGAUCAUUGCUGGCCUUUCGCUCCUGUUCACUAUUGUCGCUAUGCGGAGAGAAACUUUGAUCCUGGCUUCAAGAACUAAAGCUACCUGGACCUCUGCUGUCAGCACUCAGCCGUCCUUAUGCCUUCAGGCCUCCAUUCCCUCCUGCUCUCGUACUUCAAGAGUAGUUGUUCCCUUGCCCUCCCGUAAGCUCCCUCAAUGUACCUCAGCUCUCCGGCCCAUCAACACCAGGCCCUCUUUCUCCAACAAUCUUUUUUGUCCACUUCCACCGAUUCUACAGUCAAUCUACAGUCAACUUCGCCAACUUCUCUGUGGGUCACCCCUGAUGCCUCACGAUGUCUCAUACCUACUGCCUCGGUCUGGGUCACCCCUGAUGCCUCACAGUGCCUCAUACCCGCUGCCUCGCAAUGGGUCACCUCUGAUGCCUCACGAUGCCUCAUACCUACUGCUUCUCUAUGGGUCACCUCUGAUGCCUCACGAUGCCUCAUACGUACUGCUUCUCCAUGGGUCACCAUUGAUGCUUCACGAUGCCUCAUACCUACUGCUUCUCCAUGGGUCACCACUGAUGCCUCAUGAUGCCUCAUACCUGCUGUCUCGCUAUGAGUCACCCCUGAUCCCUCUCAAUGCCUCAUGCCUGCUACCUCAAUAUGAGUCACCCCUGAUGCCUCUUGAUGCCUCAUACCUACUUCCUCUCCACGGGUCACCCCUGAUGCCUCAUGAUGCCUCGUACCUACUGCGUCACAAAAGAUCACUCCUGAUGCCUCACGAUGCCUCAUUCCGACUGUUUCUCCAUGGGUCACUCCUGAUGCCUCACAAUGCCUCGUACCUACUGCCUCAGCAUGGGUCUCUCCUAAUGCCUCACAAUGCCUCGAACCUACUGCCUCACCAUGGGUCUCCCCUAAUGCCUCCCAAUGACUCUAACCUACUGCCUCAGAAUGGGUCACCACUGAUGCCUGAUACUCCCUCAUCCUUACUGCUUCUCCAUAUGUCACCAAUGCUAACUCAUCCUGCCUCAUCCCUACUUUCUUGCUCUUUCCCAUCAAUGCUGCCUUACUAUUUCUCUUGCUUGUUGCCUCAUCUUUACUCUGUCUUGCUGCCUCACCGUGUAUCACCCCUCCUACAUCUUUUUUUUUCACUUGUGCCAUCUCAACACAGCCGGGCCCUGCCAUCUCCCCUUUUCUCAGUUCUGUUUCCUUACAGUAUCUCUCCGAUACUGUUGACCUGUUUCACCCGCUACCUCUGCCCCUCUUCCUUGCCCUCACUUCCUAGCACCAGAAUCUUCCAGGAACACCCUGACAAUGGUCUCUCCUGCCUUGAUGUCAGAUCUAAUGCUGAAUGUCUAGAGCUGGAAAUUGAUUAGGAAAAGACUGGUUAAAGCAUUAUGGAAGAGGUGGAGAUAGAUGAAUUGAUCACCAGCAUGACAGGUGGCUAAUUGUAUACUUAUUUACUCUAGUUUAUUGGAGUAUUAAAUUUUUUAAAAACAAUUCUCAUGUAUGGGAUUUGGUUUUUGAGUGGCUUUUUAUUAUUAUAAGAUUAACAGCAUCUUUCCAUUUAAAAUGCCAUGAGUCGGGGAAAUCAGGUUGGUCACAAUGGGUGAGGAUGGUGAAGAUGUGAAUUCCCGAGUUAAACAGAACAAUCUGGGUUAAUUUUGUCCACUCUUUAUUGCUUAAAUUUGAGCCACCUCUUUAAGGAUUAUGUCCAUACCAUGUGGCAUUUUAUGAAAAUAAACAAAGACAUGUACAGUGCUGACAUUAUGCUCUAUAAAGCUAAUCCGUCUACAGUACCACAGCAUACAGUAUUAACAUAAAUGGUUUCCUUUGUACCACAUCUGUAAAUUCUUCAUUGUUUUUCUUAAUCAUCUAUUAAAUAUUUAUAACUCGUCUUAAAUAUUUAUAACUGACAACUUAAGUGAGUUUCUACAUUUACCAUAUUAAUGGCUCUGUUACCUGCAGUCCCUUGAAAAAAAACAGUUCUUUGCUUAAAUUCUUGAACCUUUGUCAUGUGUCAAAGACAUACACUCAGUUCUAAACAGGAAAUUCAUUUUUUCAUAGAGAAAAGCAUACUGUGUUUUAAAUAAAUGCUGUUUUAAAGCCUCAGUACUGAUUAAACAUCAAGGGGAUUAAGUUAUACAAUAGCACCCAUGUUAACCAUUCCCUUGUGCAGUCUGAUGUUUUUCUUUUUGUUGCCAUUAUAUCAGAUCAGUAAUUCUGAUCUGAAAGAUAUACUUUUCCCCCUGAGCCUGGUAGGGAGUAGCAUAAGCAUCUGGUGUUGCAAAAAGUCACCUCUAUGUGACUUGUCACUGUGGACUUUCUCUCUUAAUAACACUGUUUCUGCUACUGUAUAUUGAACACUUGGGACAUCAUCUAAACAAACAUGGAGUUAAAUUGGUUUCUUCAUAUGUCUGAAAUUGGUCUAGAAAGCAGAUAUGACUUUUUUUUUAUUUAUGGAGUUACUAUAUGUCUUGCAAAAAAUCUUAUUUCACAUUUUACAUCGAUGAAGCUGUUUCUGAUUAUGAGUUCUGUUUUACAGAGUAAAAUGCAGUUUAAAUUUUGUAGUGAAGACAUGGUUGCACACCUUUUAUUUGGGAAAGAAUAUGUCUGUGGUGAUUAAAGGUGAUUUAUUUUCUCUUGAACCUUUUCACAAACCUCAUUUUGAAAUUGCACAAUUUCAAGGAGACAAAAAUAAAACAUUUAGUUUAGGAAUAGGAAUAUCUCAUUCAUUGAGUGUAUUUCUCUUCAAGUAAAAUUAUUUGUCAAGUAUUUGUAUUGAAAUUAGUUCAUUACCAUGGAAUAUUUGAAAAUUGAUGCUAUUGCUUAUCUACCAAUAAAAAAUAUGUAUGCAUUCUGCAC